rnacentral:lncRNA from 1 species
UCUAAUUGUCCAAAUGGGGCGAUGGGGCUACGUUGGAAACUAUUAUCACAUUAGCAUCACCAUUAAUUCAAGCCACAUACUUAUAAAUUCUAAAAGCUUUCUCUUAGCUAGCUUUCAAUGGCCAUUUAAAUGGCUAUUUAUUCUCACUACCCUUAUCACUCUAAAAUGAAUGAACAACCCCACUACCAAUUCACCCCCAAAUCUAAACACUAAUCAUUCUCAACACUAAAACUCAAUUCUAGUGUACUACUCACCUUGGUAGCUUGUAUUUGAAAUUCUUUUCAAAACUUUCAAGCUAUUUUUGAAGCUUCCUCUUUCUCUCUCUAAAACACCUAACUAGUGAGAGAGAGUAUGAAAAUAAGAUUUUUUUUUCAAGGGUUUUAAGGAGAGAGAGUGGAAGAGCACAAGGGUUUAUGGAAAGGGUGCACCAAAAGCAUGAAAUUUGGAGCUAUUUGAGGAAGGUUAUGGAGCUUUCUUAUCAAACUUUCAUGGGGGAUGAAAGCAACGUGAGAUGAGAGGAAGAAGAAGGAGAAAAG